AUGAAUCAAGUUCCAACAAUCGAUUAUAGCAACAAAAAAAAAGGUAAGAGAAAACUAACAGGGUUGCCGGCGGCCAGGUGUGACGGCGGAUCUUGCAAACCGGAGGAAAGCGGCUUGUUGGUGUUUGUUUGUAGCAGUUUUGCGGAGGGAGUAGACGGAGGAGUUCUUUCCGGUGGAGCUGCUACGCGGAAGGGUGGUGUUGGACGAAGGUUGCUGUGGUAG